rnacentral:rRNA from 1 species
AGAGUUUGAUCAUGGCUCAGGAUGAACGCUAGCGGCAGGCUUAACACAUGCAAGUCGAGGGGUAUAGUUCUUCGGAACUAGAGACCGGCGCACGGGUGCGUAACGCGUAUGCAAUCUACCUUUCACAAAGGGAUAGCCCAGAGAAAUUUGGAUUAAUACCUUAUAGUAUAGCGAGUUCGCAUGGAUUUGCUAUUAAAGAUUUAUCGGUGAAAGAUGAGCAUGCGUCCCAUUAGCUAGUUGGUAAGGUAACGGCUUACCAAGGCUACGAUGGGUAGGGGUCCUGAGAGGGAGAUCCCCCACACUGGUACUGAGACACGGACCAGGCUCCUACGGGAGGCAGCAGUGAGGAAUAUUGGUCAAUGGGCGCAAGCCUGAACCAGCCAUGCCGCGUGCAGGAUGACGGUCCUAUGGAUUGUAAACUGCUUUUGUACAGGAAGAAACACCCCGACGUGUCGGGACUUGACGGUACUGUAAGAAUAAGGAUCGGCUAACUCCGUGCCAGCAGCCGCGGUAAUACGGAGGAUCCAAGCGUUAUCCGGAAUCAUUGGGUUUAAAGGGUCCGUAGGCGGCUUAAUAAGUCAGUGGUGAAAUCCCUACGCUUAACGUAGGAACGGCCAUUGAUACUGUUAGGCUUGAAUUAUUAGGAAGUAACUAGAAUAUGUAGUGUAGCGGUGAAAUGCUUAGAGAUUACAUGGAAUACCAAUUGCGAAGGCAGGUUACUACUAAUGGAUUGACGCUGAUGGACGAAAGCGUGGGUAGCGAACAGGAUUAGAUACCCUGGUAGUCCACGCCGUAAACGAUGGAUACUAGCUGUUGGAAGCAAUUUCAGUGGCUAAGCGAAAGUGAUAAGUAUCCCACCUGGGGAGUACGUUCGCAAGAAUGAAACUCAAAGGAAUUGACGGGGGCCCGCACAAGCGGUGGAG